GGGAAGAAACUUAGUCAAAGGGGAGGGGGGGGCUUGCCCUAGUUUUUAUUCACAUUCACCCAUCCCAUUAACCACCACGUUCGCCAGCAUCUAUCUCGACCAUACUACCUCCACCACCUCCAUCUUCACUGCCGCCGCCAUUACUACCACGCCCACCAGCGGCAGCAGCACAUCCAUCAUCCUUCUGCCUGAGAAGUGCAAUGUGCCUAGCCCAGAACUUCACAUUUGGGAGCCUCAACAAAUCUGAGUUUGAUGAAGUCUCCAGCCAGUCAGGAAUUUUCCAUCUCUGGGAAACAAAGAAGUUGAAAUAUUCAAGAAACUGGACUACUCAUCGCUGGCCAUAGAAUAGGAGGAACGUGGGAGGCUGUGGGGAAAGAAUCCAGCACCUGGGCGGCACUGGCCCCAAUCCUUGGGCCAGCCGAGUUGCACAGCUGCCUUGCCCAGCCUACAGGGGGAGCUGCUCCUCCAAAUGUGUGACGCUCCUGUAUCAGCCCAUCUAGGUUCGCAGCCUGCCAGAGUCCUGAGCACACAUGACCCCUCCCCCAGGGGUUGGAGCUUGCUUUUGGCUCCAAGCCUCCUGUUCCUGCUCCAUCCCUGAGCAAACAUGUGUUUCCAGAUGUUGUCUCAAAGCCUUAUAAAGCCAAGGGAAGACUCCAGUUAAUGUAGCUACAGCACACCAAACUGUGGGCCGCAAGCUAAGAAUGCAUCAUUCAAGGAAAGCAAGACCCUUCAUUCCUGAUGGGCAAGAAGGGUGCACAGUCAUUCCCCCCACCUCCAACUUCAGAAAUUAACUCAACAAAGCAACAACCUUUAGGAAAAAGAGAAAGGAAUAAAAGGCCUUGUUUCUGCAGGUGUCAUUUACCAAGGGAGUCUUCGAGGAUUAAUGAAGUUUCUUCUGGGCGAAGGGCGGGGUUACUCCCGACUCCAAACCAGGAGAGCGGCUCCUAACAUGAGGCUAGAAGUCUGAGUUCAAGAGUUCGGUUGCCUGCCUCUCCAAGCGCUCCCACGCGUCAGGGAGCGCUACAGCCCUGGGCUUCUUCCCUGGCACAUGCUUGCGGUACCUUCCACCAUCUCUGCUCUGAGGCCCAGAUUCCAAGCCUGGUUUCCACCACUGACAGCUCAGAGCGUCUGUGUCUCACUCUCACUCCUCAACUGAUUGUUCUGCCUCCAACACCCUGCAAGUGGGGCCCUAAUGGAUGCGUUUGCUCGUGCUUUCUGACGUCUGGCUGCAGCAUAACCACCACCGUCAUCGCUCCUGGAUUUUGUACUUUGCUCAAGCCUCGCACACACCAUCUCUUUUGAGGUUCCCAGAGUGCCUCUGAGGAGGAAUGAAUAUUCUCCUGCCUUGGCCAGAAGGCUGACAUCCAGAGAGGUGAAGACACUAAGUGAAAGGCUCACGGUUUUGCAGAUGGAGAGGGGAAGAUUCAGUUUCUGCAUUUCAGCACGGUGCUUUCUUUCAACUUUACCCGAAUCAGCAAAAUGGUUUCUACCCAAGUACUAACCUCAAUCUCUCCUCUGUAUGUACCCUGCCAGCUCCAGGGCCCUGCUUAGGACUCACUUCUUCCAGGAAGCCUUCCUAUACCUUCAAGGCAACAUCAAGUCUCCACCCACGUCUCCUUCUCCAAUCCCGCGUCAGGACUAUCUACUUGUCUGUUUGGGUCUCGGCUGAUGCUGCCUGGCACCGCUGCUCUUUUCUCUGCAUAUGUGGGUACCAACAGAGGCUCCCGUGAGACAUGACUUGGGGUUUUGCUUGCACCUGGAGCUCAACGUAAGUGUGGACGGACUGAUGGAUCCAUGACCCAUGCUAUCCUCUCCGCUGCAGGAACACAAGGGAGAUCUGGGCUCUUGUUUCAUCUCUGUCAUGUGUCCUGUCCUGCAGUGAUGGCAGUGAUGGCGGGAGCCGAGGACUGAGGGCACUUAGCGUGCAUCAUUGCUUCCAGCCCUCGCAGUGGCCCUAGGAGAGAGAAAUUUUUCACCCCUUAUUUCAGAAUAAGAAAAACUAAGUACAGAGAAGCUAGAGAGUUCGCCCAAGGUUACACACCUAGGAGACAGUGGAGCCGGCACUUGCACCCACUGAGAACAGCCUGCAAGUGAUCUGAAAAUGAGUCCCAGGCUGUGCAUGCCUGACCUUGAAUUGGGGCCAGGUAGGAGACUUCUGCUGAGUUAUUCUUGAGCCAUCUGACACUGGAGGGGCAUGGGCUGUUUUGGGCCUCUAGCUGUUCCUGAAGAGGCACCAGGAGCAAGCUGGGCCGGGAGAGUCUGGUCACUACACUAACAGUUGGUCAUGGCCUUCACUAAUCACAAGGCUCCCCAAAUCCUGCCUCAGGCAACGUGGUAGACAGGUCCACUAGCCCGCCUAGCAGGUGUUCUUCCCAGACUGGGGUACAUAGAUACAUCUGUGGCUUCCAAUAAAGCACAUGUCCUGGAACCAGGUUUUUGGGUAGUUCCCUCCCAUGCACCUGGGUUUGACCCUAUGACUUGUUUUGGCCAAUGGGAUUGAGCAAUUUCACACAAGCAGAGGUCACAUGUGAGCACUUGCCGUGGGGGCUUGUUCUUUUGGAACUCUCCCUUUCAAAGUCAGUCACCGUGCUCUAAAGCAGCUCAGGAUAGACUAGGGGGUGAGUAGCCCCUGGAGGAUGGGACGUCAUCUAGAAGAUUCCAGCCCAGCUAAACCCCCAUAAUGCUGCUCCUGAUUGUCCUCGGCCGCACAACUUGAAGCUGAAGACCAGCUCAUUUAUU